AUGAACGCUAGCGGCAGGCCUAAUACAUGCAAGUCGAGCGGCAAGUCGAGGAGUAAUCUGAGACCUAGAGCGGCGCACGGGUGCGUAACGCGUAUGCAACCUACCUCAUACGAGGGGAUAGCCCGGAGAAAUCUGGAUUAAUACCCCAUGGCAUCCCGGAGUCGCAUGGCUUCCGGGAUUAAAGAUUCAUCGGUAUGAGAUGGGCAUGCGUCUGAUUAGCUAGUUGGCGGUGUAACGGACCACCAAGGCGACGAUCAGUAGGGGUUCUGAGAGGAAGGUCCCCCACACUGGCACUGAGAUACAGGCCAGACUCCUACGGGAGGCAGCAGUAGGGAAUAUUGGGCAAUGGACGAGAGUCUGACCCAGCCAUGCCGCGUGCAGGAAGACGGCGUUCUGCGUUGUAAACUGCUUUUAUCUGGGAAGAAAAGGCCCAUGCGUGGGACAUUGCCGGUACCAGAUGAAUAAGCACCGGCUAACUCCGUG
rnacentral:rRNA from 1 species